UACAGAGGUGGCAAGCGUUGUUCGGAAUUACUGGGCGUAAAGGGCGCGUAGGCGGCCAUCUAAGUCAGACGUGAAAUCCCCCGGCUUAACCUGGGAACUGCGUCUGAUACUGGAAGGCUUGAGUAUGGGAGAGGGAUGUAGAAUUCCAGGUGUAGUGGUGAAAUGCGUAGAUAUCUGGAGGAAUACCGGUGGCGAAGGCGGCAUCCUGGACCAUUACUGACGCUGAGGCGCGAAAGCUAGGGGAGCAAACGGG
rnacentral:rRNA from 1 species